rnacentral:rRNA from 1 species
CCCUACUGCUAUCGGGGUGGGACUAAGACAUGCUAGUCGAGCGCCUUGAGCUAUGGCGAGGCGCGGCGUACAGCUCAGUAACACGUGGCUAACCUACCCUUAGGACGGAGACAACCCCGGGAAACUGGGGCUAAUAUCUGAUAGGUGAGGAGGCCUGGAAUGGUUCUUCGCUGAAAAGGCGUUGAAACCAUGCCUUUCAGCGUCGCCUAAGGAUGGGGCCGCGUCCGAUCAGGUUGUUGGUGGGGUAACGGCUCACCAAGCCUAUAACCGGUACGGGCCGUGAGAGCGGGAGCCCGGAGAUGGGCACUGAGACAAGGGCCCAGGCCCUACGGGGCGCAGCAGUCGCGAAAACUCCGCAAUGCGCGAAAGCGUGACGGGGCUACCCCGAGUGCCGUCCGCUGAGGAUGGCUUUUCCCCGGUGUAAUGAGCCGGGGGAAUAAGGAGAGGGCAAGUCUGGUGUCAGCCGCCGCGGUAAUACCAGCUCUCCGAGUGGUAGGGACGAUUAUUGGGCUUAAAGCGUCCGUAGCCGGCUUAGCAAGUCUUCUGUUAAAUUCAGCGACCUAAUCGUUGAGCCGCGGGAGAUACUACUAGGCUAGGAGGCGGGAGAGGCCGACGGUAUUCUCGGGGUAGGGGUGAAAUCCUAUAAUCCCGGGAGGACCACCAGUGGCGAAGGCUGUCGGCUAGAACGCGCUCGACGGUGAGGGACGAAAGCUGGGGGAGCGAACCGGAUUAGAUACCCGGGUAGUCCCAGCUGUAAACGAUGCGGGCUAGGUGUUGGGGUGGCUACGAGCCACUUCAGUGCCGCAGGGAAGCCAUUAAGCCCGCCGCCUGGGGAGUACGGCCGCAAGGCUGAAACUUAAAGGAAUUGGCGGGGGAGCACCACAAGGCGUGAAGCUUGCGGUUC